GACGAACGCUGGCGGCGUGCUUAACACAUGCAAGUCGAACGGAAAGGCCCUGCUUUUGUGGGGUUCUCGAGUGGCGAACGGGUGAGUAACACGUGAGUAACCUGCCCUUGACUUUGGGAUAACUUCAGGAAACUGGGGCUAAUACCGGAUAGGAGCUCCUGCUGCAUGGUGGGGGUUGGAAAGUUUCGGAGGUUGGGGAUGGACUCGCGGCUUAGCAGAUUGUUGGUGGGGUAGUGGCUUACCAAGGCUUUGACGGGUAGCCGGCCUGAGAGGGUGCCCGGCCAGAUUGGGACUGAGAUGCGGCCCAGACUCCUACGGGAGGCAGGAGUGGGGAAUAUUGCACUAUGGGCGGAAGCCUUAUGCAGCAACGCCGCGUGCGGGAUGACGGCCUUCGGGUUGUAAACCGCUUUCGCCUGUGACGAAGCGUGAGUGACGGUAAUGAGUAAAGAAGCUACGGCUAACUACGUG
rnacentral:rRNA from 1 species